AGAGUUUGAUCAUGGCUCAGGAUGAACGCUAGCUACAGGCUUAACACAUGCAAGUCGAGGGGAAACGACAUCGAAAGCUUGCUUUUGAUGGGCGUCGACCGGCGCACGGGUGAGUAACGCGUAUCCAACCUGCCCAUCACUUGGGGAUAACCUUGCGAAAGUAAGACUAAUACCCAAUGACGUCUCUAGAAGACAUCUGAAAGAGAUUAAAGAUUUAUCGGUGAUGGAUGGGGAUGCGUCUGAUUAGCUUGUUGGCGGGUAACGCCACCAAGGCGACGAUCAGUAGGGGUUCUGAGAGGAACGGUCCCCCANAUUGGAACUGAGACACGGUCCAAACUCCGUACGGGAGGCA
rnacentral:rRNA from 1 species